GCUGCCGGCCGAGCGGGGCAGCGGCAGCAGGCCCCCCCCCGCCGCCGAGCCCCCCGUCCGACCCCGUAGAGAUGCUCCGGGGGAGGCACCGCGCCGUCGCCGCAGAAAAGUGACUAUUGCUGGGGCUUUUUCAGGAACAACAACCUAAUCUGCAAUACAAGCAACGGCUUGCUGCCCGUGCUGGGUGAGGAUACUCUCUUAAAAAGCAGCUGGCUUGGUCCCGGUGAAGGCUCUGGCUGGGCUUUUGCCUACCUGGGAAAAGCUCAGGAGCUGCAAACUUUUUUGAAGAGGGAUAAGGUAUGAAAUGAGGGAGCUGGGACCGCUGAGGCCUCUUGUUUGCCCCCCCUAAUGACCUCAACGGGGGGAGCCUCGCCAGCGAUCGCAUCCAAACCCACCGGCGAGAUGGGAAAGGUGACCUCCUCGGCAGGGACCCAGAGUCCCCGCGAUUGUGAAACCCGCGUUGCAGCCGGAUGGGAAACCACCCUCUUACCGGGGGAGCCGUCCACUCGCUUUGGGGUGACACGGGGAAAGUCCCCUCCGUUAGCGGCCCUCCGCCACAGGACCCCGGCGGGGUGUCUCGGGGUGUGGGGGGGACUGUGGGCUGGCUGGGGAUGCCCGACGCCAGCGGGCUUGGGAGAUUUGGGGUUUUAUUUCUUGAUUCCUGCGGGCUGCCUGGGAGUUGGCGGCUGUUUCUUCACGUCACGUGGCGAUGGAGGAGGCGGGAGGCUGUGAUGAGAAGCUCCCGCUUAUUACUGCCGCGUUCGGGCAUCGCAUCCUGGGGAGGAAAUGCCGGGGAGCCGUGUGCUGUGCCUGACUGCCCCGGCGAUAACAGACACGGCCACGCUUGUUCGGAGCCGUCGGAGCAAAAAGAGA